AGCGAACGCUGGCGGCAGGCCUAACACAUGCAAGUCGAACGAACUCUUCGGAGUUAGUGGCGGCCGGGUGAGUAACACGUGGGAACGUGCCUUUUGGUUCGGAAUAACUCAGGGAAACUUGUGCUAAUACCGACUGUGCACUUCGGGGGAAAGAUUUAUCGCCAUUAGAACGGCCGGCGUCUGAUUAGCUAGUUGGUGAGGUAACGGCUAACCAAGGUGACGAUCAGUAGCUGGUAUGAGAGGAUUACCAGCCACACUGGGACUGAGAUACGGCCCAGACUCCUACGGGAGGCAGCAGUGGGGAAUCUUGCGCAAUGGGCGAAAGCCUGACGCAGCCAUGCCGCGUGAAUGGUUAAGUUCUUAGGAUUGUAAAAUUCUUUCAUCGGUGACGAUAAUGACGGUACCCGGAGAAGAAGCCCCGGCUAACUUCGUG
rnacentral:rRNA from 1 species